GAGUAACGCGUGAGUAACCUGCCCUGGAGUGGGGGACAACAGUUGGAAACGACUGCUAAUACCGCAUAAGCCCACGGAUCCGCAUGGAUCUGCGGGAAAAGGAUUUAUUCGCUUCAGGAUGGACUCGCGUCCAAUUAGCUAGUUGGUGAGGUAACGGCCCACCAAGGCGACGAUUGGUAGCCGGACUGAGAGGUUGAACGGCCACAUUGGGACUGAGACACGGCCCAGACUCCUACGGGAGGCAGCAGUGGGGGAUAUUGCACAAUGGGGGAAACCCUGAUGCAGCGACGCCGCGUGGAGGAAGAAGGUUUUCGGAUUGUAAACUCCUGUCGUUAGGGACGAUAAUGACGGUACCUAACAAGAAAGCACCGGCUAACUACGUGCCAGCAGCCGCGGUAAAACGUAGGGUGCAAGCGUUGUCCGGAAUUACUGGGUGUAAAGGGAGCGCAGGCGGACCGGCAAGUUGGAAGUGAAAACUAUGGGCUCAACCCAUAAAUUGCUUUCAAAACUGCUGGCCUUGAGUAGUGCAGAGGUAGGUGGAAUUCCCGGUGUAGCGGUGGAAUGCGUAGAUAUCGGGAGGAACACCAGUGGCGAAGGCGACCUACUGGGCACCAACUGACGCUGAGGCUCGAAAGCAUGGGUAGCAAACAGGAUUAGAUACCCUGGUAGUCCAUGCCGUAAACGAUGAUUACUAGGUGUUGGAGGAUUGACCCCUUCAGUGCCGCAG
rnacentral:rRNA from 1 species